GCACAGCGCGGGCGCAGGCGCCGAGAGGCGCACGGGAGACCUCAGGCCCAGACUCCACUCCCCAGCUGUGAAAGGACUGCUGGCCAGACCCCCAAGCUAGCCCGCCAGGCCUCCAUAGAGCUGCCCAGCAUGGCUGCGUCCAGUACCAAGAGUUGGUGGGAGACGGGUGAAGUACAGGCUCAGUCUGCGGCCAAGACUCCAUCCUGCAAGGAUAUUGUGGCUGGAGACAUGAGCAAGAAAAGCCUCUGGGAGCAGAAGGGAGGCUCCAAGACCUCAUCAACAAUUAAGAUGGACUCUGUGACUACAUGACUAAUAAAAUAUGGCAGAAAUGACACCAUGCAGUUUCCAAGCCCAGGCCUUAGGAGACAGGCAGCUUCCAGUUCAGUCUUUUGGAGGGUCAGCUCUGGGGCCCUCAGCCAUCACGCAUGGAGUCCAACCACCCUGAGACGUCAUGCUGGAGACCCACCUGUGGAUGCCCCAGUCAAGAGUCCUGGCUGAGCCCAGCCUCCCAGCCACCCCCACCCAAGGCAUCAGACCACGAAGCUUCUGGCCAAGGCUUCACCAACUUCACUUGAUGCUGUGAGGAACAGAACUGCCCAUCCAAGCCCUGCCAGAAUUUCUAACCCACAAAGCCAUGAGUCACAAUAAAUGCCAUGGGACAAAAACAGUCAUGCAUGUUGCUUUUGUCAUACAUUAGUGGUAGUUCAUCGCACGGCAAUAGAAAACCAAAAUACCUGUCUACUGGGUUCGUCCAUUUGGAUGCCACAGAGGCACCUGAAACAGAACACGUUCAUUACUUAACUCUGGUUCUUCCUUCCACACUGACCUCCACCCACUGCUCCCAAGGUUGCCCCUCCUCCAGAGUCCUCCAUCUCCAACAUAGUAUCACCAUCUCCCCAGGAACUCAAGUGUGAAGGCAGGGGUCAUGUUUGGCAUCUGUCACCCUUUGCGAGUUGCAACCUGGAGACCCUGGAGGGUGUUAUGAUGAGUGAAAUAACCUAAUCACAAAAGGACUAAUACUCCACAAAUUCACUUAUAUGAGGAGUCUAGGAGUCAAAUUCCUAGAGACUGAAAGAACGGUGGUUGUCAGGGGCUGGGGAGAAUGGGGAGUUCAUAUUUAAUGGGGGCAGAGUUUCAGUUUUGCCAGAUGAGAAUAACCUGGAAAUGGAUGGUGUGAUGUUUGCACAAUGUGAACGUACUUUACUCCACUAUACAUUUGAAAGUGGGUGCAAUGGAAAAGUUUAUGUGAUGAGUUUUUUACCACAAUUAAAAAUAUAACAAAAUAA
ensembl:lncRNA LSP1P5 LSP1 pseudogene 5